AUGGCAGGUAUUGGUUCCUUUGAUGAGGGUCUCUGUUACUUUCAUGGAGGACUGGCAACUCAAAACUUGUUAGAUAAUGCAGAUCAGCUGCCCUGCUUUCUUUGUUGCAGCUGUUUUUUUGGUGAAUAUACAGUCAGAAGAUUGUAAAUAAAAUGGGAAUCCUUUCACGCAGUGCAGUUAGCAGAAAGCCAAAGGAGACGAUGAGGCUUAUCGUAACUACUUUUGUUGGUGUAGUUUUGGGUUUCUUCAUAGGAGUAUCAUUUCCUACAUUGUCAUUAACUAAGCUGAAUCUCCCGCCCGGCAUUCUUCCUUCCAUGGAUCUCUAACAUGUGAGGGAAUCAGGCGAUGAAAAGACUUGGCUACCUGUGAAUAGUAUUAGUAGCCGCUCAACUGAAGCUCAAAAUGUAACCAAUACAUCAAAGAUUUGGGUUCCAUCUAAUCCUAGAGGUGCCGAAAGACUACCUCCUCAAAUUGUUGCAGCUGAGUCAGAUUUCUACCCGCGAAGAUUGUGGGGUAACCCUAGUGAGGACUUAAAAAGCAAACCACAGUACCUUGUAACCUUCACCGUUGGUUAUGAUCAGAGAAUGAAUAUUGACACGGCAGUGAAAAAGGUCUCUCUCUCUCGCAUUUCUUUUUCUGUGUAAUUAUGUGUGUGACUGAAUAUGUUAUUCUGG